ACGUUUUAUUACAUUUAACCCAACUUCCCCGCCAAAACAACUUACACACAGUCCCUGAACAGUGUAAAAUGAAAGCUUACAAAUGAAUUAGUCUUCAUAGUUCCCUACCAGGCAGUGCCAGCAUAGAGGGGUAAUCCUUGCAGUCAGACACCCCCGUGGUGUCAGAGAUGCAGUCCCUCCACAGGUUGGAGUAGUAGUUGGAGGUGGUCAGCACGAUGCUCCCCACCUCAGAGAAGGUCCAGUACUCUGUGGGAAGAGUGGAACACACCAGGAUCCAUCCACACAGGCACGACACGAAGGAGCCGAUCUCCAUGUACAUCACCACCGUCCGGUAUUUCAUGAACCCCAAAGUCCACGCAGUUCACUACACCAGUGGAGUCCUCAUAGCAGUCCUUCCAUAGGUCAGACCAGAACCAGGAUGCUGUCACCACAGAGGAGCCCCCUUGACCUCCCAGCUGGGCCACCCUCCAGGACAAGUUGCAAGUGUGCAGCCCACAAAGCCCCAGCCUAGAGUGCAAAGCAGCAGGCCCAGGAUUUGAGCAUGUCUCCUCCACAUCCUUCCCCAGCUAACCACAGAUUGUUAGUGAGAGCUAGUAAUACCAGAUGUCUAUGUAAAAGAAGUAGUCUCCAGUAAUUCAAGACGACAAAAACCACAAGAGUGGACUCAAUCCGUGGAGCUGUAGUCUUCUUACAGCAGCUGCUGUAGUGAAUAUGUGAAGGUUUGAAUAACAGCAAAGCAGACUGUGUUUACAGUCAACCAGACCUGAUGAGGCUGGCUGAGUUUAUUUGUUUCAUUAAGACACAGAGACAGUUUGAUCAGAAUGGAAGUAUCAUAUACAAAAAUGUGUUUUACUGGAUGAAUGGAUCAUAUUUGUUACAAAUCACAAGUCCUUUACAUUUAUAUACAAGUGUUGCUAAUAAUGCUAACAUGAUGUUUUAUUCAAAUAAAAGAGUUCUUCACAAAUGGUCUCGUCUCACUCCUCGAACU